UACGUAGGGUGCAAGCGUUGUCCGGAAUUAUUGGGCGUAAAGAGCUCGUAGGCGGUCUGUCACGUCGGCUGUGAAAUCCCGCGGCUCAACUGCGGGUCUGCAGUCGAUACGGGCAGGCUAGAGUUCGGUAGGGGAGACUGGAAUUCCUGGUGUAGCGGUGAAGUGCGCAGAUAUCAGGAGGAACACCGGUGGCGAAGGCGGGUCUCUGGGCCGAUACCGACGCUGAGGAGCGAAAGCGUGGGGAGCGAACAGG
rnacentral:rRNA from 1 species